rnacentral:tRNA from 2 species
UGGGCCGUCGCCAAGGGGUAAGGCAACGGACUUUGACUCCGUCAUUCCGCUGGUUCGAAUCCAGCCGGCCCAGCCA